UUGCAAGUGCAAAUGGAAUGUACGUGCGCCAGUCAAUCCGGAUAUGGUAACUGAGUAUCUUAAGUUACACUUGAGGACCACAUUGAAGCUUCUAGGACUAAGAAUGUCAUUGGAGUUGUCAAGCUGAUGAAGCUCUCUAGAUAGAGCAAAGGUAGUGACUAAAUUGACUUGUGAGAUUAGAUAGAGUUCAUCCAAUCUCAUGUGCUUAUGCAACAUGGUUGGUGUAUGGAGGUAUGGACAAUUCUUCAGUAGCUUAAAUGUUUCAAAGGUGGAGAAAUGAAUCUGAUUUUGAUGAACACAUUCUAUGCAAGACGGAAUAUGUAUCAGGCGGACUUUCACCACAAAGGAAAUUUGGCGGAAGCUUUUUGUGAAAUGGACGUUAAUGCUGAUCGGGAUUUGGUAAAUGGGACUUGAAAGAUUUUGUAUAAUCUGCAUCCUAACAAUAAACAUGGAGCCCGAUAAAUGGUGUGAACUCAAGACUGAAAGAUUUA